rnacentral:tRNA from 1 species
GGAUGUAACUUAAUGGUAUAGCACUUGCCUAACAUGCAUGAGGCCCUGGGUUCAAUCCCCAGUACAGCCA